UCCCUGGUGGAUUAGUGGCUAGCAUGCGGCGCUGUCAUUCCCAGGGCCCAGGCUCGAUUCCUGGUCAGAGAA